rnacentral:lncRNA from 1 species
GGAAAAUUUAAAUUUAGAUAGCCAAAUGAAAAACAAAACACCAGACCCAGUUUAAAGUAUAAUAAAGAUGGCAUUCCAGUCUUGUAUUGAAAACGCAAUAAAUAAUUUACCAAACUGAACUCCAGUAUUCUAGAAUAUGGUUCUAGAAUACAUAAACUACAAAAAGGGGGAAAACAUGAUUCAUGAAAAUGUAGCAUGCAAUCUAAUUCUCUUCUCAAUUCACUUCUUUCCUGCAUGCCUGUUUCUCUUCUUAGCGCCAGACUUUGCAACUCUGAGGCUCCUAUUAACAGCACUCAACCUUGCAAGAGCCGCCUUCUUAAGAUCAGGUCUGUAGUAGUUGUCUGCCACCUGUGGGACAUCACACAACCAAUAAAUCAAAUUAGCUCAUAGAUCAAGACAAUGAAGCUUUUUUAUGAAAUCCAAUAAUUCAUUAGAAGUACAAAAAGUUGUAGCCUAGACAACUAAGCUUAAACAAGAUGCAAAUUGAGAUAACAAAUUUGAACAGAUAUUAGAUUAAAACCAAUUAUUCUAAAACAAUUUGUUGGGCAGCAUUUGGGAGAGUCGUUUGCUGCAAAAUAAAGGAGCUUCUCUAAAUAACAAUAAAUUAAAAGAUCAACGAAGAACAUUUGAAUGAUCAAAUCUCAGAAGCCAAGCGUAACAAGUAAAUUUCAUUGAAGCAACCCACCUAGGGAACCUUCUUACAUGUUAAGAGCUCAUCACCGAUGGGAAACAUUCAAUCAUAUUAGCAGUGGUGGUUUAAAAUGAAUUUCGCUAUAUACAGAAAAAAUGCAAAAUAGCAUAUGAGGAAAAUAGUUUACUAAGACAGAUCUGCUCCGCUCGGACUAAUAACAUAAAUUAUGAAGAGAUCAAAAGGGCAAGUUCACAAAAUACUUAUUUAUGAUUAAAGCUCAGAAGCCAAGCGUAACAAGUAAAUUUCAUUGAAGAAACCCACAUAGGGAUUCUUCUUAUAUGUUAACGGCUCAUCCUUGCUGGGGAAAACCUAGUCUAUAGAGGUUCAAAAUAAUUUUAUUUUACACAGAUAAAUCGCAUGGCAGCAAUUAGGAAAACUAGAUCACCAGAUAAAAGAGAGACCAGGUUCACACAAUAAACAAGAGAUAAAAAGGUUAGAUUCAUUAAGAAAACUAUUUUCAAUUAUAAGAGGUCAGUAGGCUAUAUUCACAAAACAAGUUCUGAAUGAUCAAGCUCAGAAGCCAAGCGUAACAAGUAAAUUUCAUUGAAGAAACCCACAUAGGGAUUCAUCUUAUAUGUUAGAGGCUCAUCACUGCUGGGGAACACCAAAUCUUGCUGGCAGAGGUGCAAAAUGUUUCUAAUUUACACAGAUAAAUCACAUGGCAAUUCGGAAAAUCAGAUCACCAGAAAAAAGGGAUGCCAGGUUCACACAAUAAACAAAAUGACUAAGAUAAAAAGGUUAGAUUCGUUACGAAAAAUAUUUUGAAUUAUCAGAUGUCAAAAGGCUAUAUUCACAAAACAACUUCUGAAUGAUCAAAGCUCAGAAGCCAAGCGUAACAAGUAAAUUUCAUUGAAGAAACCCGCAGGGAUUCUUCUUACGUGUUAAUAGCUCAUCACCGCUGGGGAACACUCGUUGCACAGGUUUAAAAUGAUUUCAAUUAAACAAACAGAUAAUUUGAUUGGAAGCGGGGAAAAAUAGUUUAAGUGACAAAAGAGGGGCAGGCUAUUAACAGUGCAGGCAAAGAAGAUAUCAAAAGGUGAUAUUUAUAAAAUAGCUAUUAAACAAUCAAAGCUCAGAAGCCAAGCGUAACAAAUCAAUUUCACUGAAUAAACCCAACAAAUGGAUCCUUCUUACAUGUUAGAGGCUCAUCACAGCUAGGAAAAAUUUGAAGAAAUAAAGAUGGGUUCAAAUGGUUUCAAUUUAAAGCUUUUAUGUAAAUAAACCAUGCGUUUCCAACAGUCUUAUUUUUGAACUAAGCCGCUCAGCAGUAUUUCCAUUACAAUGCACUGAAACCAAAAUAAUUUAGCACCAACCAAUUCACAACAAUUUUCAACUAUUCAAGAUUUGACUAGAUAUUUAGCGCCUAGAAUGAGAGCGAUAUGAAUACAACUACUAAAUCAAUAUUGUGAAACAUGAAAACAACCAACUUAGCUGAAUUUUCCAACCACUAAUUCCACACAAAGAACAUUUACUAAUUGUUUCUAUAAAAAUUACCUGAUUUUGCACGGCUUUAGCCAUCCUCCUGAACUCUUUCUUCAUCACAGAUUUGUGAAGCAAAGCUGCAGGCUUGUUUUGCUUCCUUGGCUUGGUGGUUGCCAACAACACAGACUGAUCUUUACCAGCAGACUGAAUAGUUACAGUUUUCUUGUUGGCCAAACCUAUUAUACCAUAAUGAAAACAUAAACUAAGCUUCACUCACCAAAAAAAUAAUUAAAAUUGCAACUAUGAAACCAUCACACACAUGGCAUUAGCAUUAUUGAAAUCUAAAUCUCAACACCAACUUCACUAAUUUCAACAAGUAUGUCAGUUGAUUAAAACUUAGGCUUUUUAGAGUUUAUCUACUUGCAUAAGCAUUUGUUAUACUGUUUGGAAGAACUUAUUAACACAGUUUAUGGCUUGUUCAUGAGCAUUUUUCAGCUUACUUGAAUAAGCUCUUCGUGAUGACUUAUCAAAACAGCUUAUAGAUUAUACAAAAACAGCUUGACUUUAUUUUAGCUUAUCAUAUAGAAAUCACUUAAUCAUAAGCAGUUAUAUGAUAUAACCCAUUAUACUUUAAGAUGCAAAAUAAGCUGUUUAUCCAAAGAGAACCCUUUAACAACAAAAACAACAUUCAAAGAACAAAAAAAAAAUUCAUUUUUAUUACUACCCAUUAAUCAUAACAAUAUUAAAUUUACAAAAUGGAUUUAUAAUAGUUGAAUCAAAUCAAAUAAAGGUAUGAUUUUGAUACUAACUUACCAGAGUAUUUGUAGGAGUUAAGGUUGUAAAGAUUAUUGGGUUCUCUGCUGAAUUGAACACUCUGAGUGUUAUUUCCAAACUCUUUAACCAAAAAAGAGUUGUUCCUCUUCACGACCUCCCAAACAAGUGGUCCAGGUACUGUUGCCAUCUUCUUCUUCUUCUUCAACCU